rnacentral:rRNA from 1 species
GACGGAGGAUGCAAGUGUUAUCCGGAGUCACUGGGCGUAAAGCGUCUGUAGGUGGUUCAAUAAGUCAACUGUUAAAUCUUGAGGCUCAACUUCAAAAUCGCAGUCGAAACUAUUGGACUCGAGUAUAGUAGGGGUAAAGGGAAUUUCCAGUGGAGCGGUGAAAUGCGUAGAGAUUGGAAAGAACACCAAUGGCGAAAGCACCUUACUGGGCUAUUACUGACACUGAGAGACGAAAGCUAGGGUAGCAAAUGGG